rnacentral:rRNA from 1 species
CCUACGGGUGGCAGCAGUGGGGAAUAUUGGACAAUGGGCGAAAGCCUGAUCCAGCCAUGCCGCGUGUGUGAAGAAGGCCUUCGGGUUGUAAAGCACUUUCAGUGGGGAAGAAAGCCUUGGGGCUAAUACCCUCGAGGAAGGACAUCACCCACAGAAGAAGCACCGGCUAACUCCGUGCCAGCAGCCGCGGUAAUACGGAGGGUGCGAGCGUUAAUCGGAAUUACUGGGCGUAAAGCGCGCGUAGGCGGUCUGAUAAGCCGGUUGUGAAAGCCCCGGGCUCAACCUGGGAACGGCAUCCGGAACGGUCAGGCUAGAGUGCAGGAGAGGAAGGUAGAAUUCCCGGUGUAGCGGUGAAAUGCGUAGAGAUCGGGAGGAAUAGCAGUGGCGAAGGCGGCCUUCUGGACUGACACUGACGCUGAGGUGCGAAAGCGUGGGUAGCAAACAGGAUUAGAUACCCUAGUAGUC